GCUGGGGUGGUGUAGUGGUUAGCACAUCUGCCUAGUGAGCAGGAGACCCAGGUUUGAAUCCCGGCCUUUGUA